CUUCGCAUUCUCUGGGCUUCUGAGCUUUUUAAUAGUCCUAAAUUCAUUGUCCUAAAUUCCUAGCUCGUCGCCGUCUCAUGUGUUCUUAAUAGCUAGUUAAUUGCACAUAUACCCAUGCGGUAUCAAUGUUUUGAACUUUCUACCUCAAUAGUUUUGCAGAUAGACCUCCGGGUUUAAUUUUUUUCUUUUUACUCUUUCACCUUGGGUGAAAUUCGGAGGAUAUUGCUUAUGGGGUGAAAUCUUUGAGGAUAUUGUCCCUGGGUGAAAUUAGGGAGCCUAUCUGAGGCAAAAAGCGUGUAGAUGUUCACAUCUGAAUAUAUAAUAUGUAAACUUCCUAUAGAUGAUGCGGCAAGUUUGGAUGAGUUAAAGGCUGAUAGUGGAUCAAUCUCAAGCACAAGCAACAAGAGGGAGAGAAUGCGAAGGAGCAAUGAGGAUGUCUUACCUCAUGUGGCUAAAACAGCAGCAAAUUUGGUAUAUUUGGUAAAUUUCUUGAUAAUUUAGCUGAAAAGAUGAGUGUAGACUUUUUGAGUGGAGUAAGAAAAGAAGUAACCUAAAUAAGGAGAUGAUGAAGCUCACAAAUUUGAGCAUCAGAGAUCAAAUUAAAGCUGCUGUAAUGUUAGCUAAAGACAAUGAGUGGCUUGAUAUAUUUUUUACUUUUGAGGAGGUUGAGAGGACUGAUGAAUUUGUGAGGAUUUUAUUGGGCGGAGAUCUAAACUGAUAAGACUUGAUUAAGUGAUGAUUUUCUACAUUAGCGAUGAGUAUUGAGAAGAGUUUCUAGCUACUUGCUUCCGUCUUUUUUUUUUUCUUUAUUGUCAAUUUUUUUUUUCUUGAUGUCAAUCACUUGAUGUUUAAUUUUAAUUGUAAAAUUCUUGUAGUUCAUGUACAUUGAAUGUUGAAAUCGUAUGAAUGUCAUGUUUCAUGUA